GCACUGGUCGGAAACCAGUGCGCGUACGAGAAGAGGAG
rnacentral:ncRNA from 1 species